rnacentral:rRNA from 1 species
UACGUAGGGUGCGAGCGUUUAAUCGGAAUUACUGGGCGUAAAGCGUGCGCAGGCGGUUUGUUAAGUCUGUCGUGAAAGCCCCGGGCUCAACCUGGGAAUGGCAAUGGAAACUGGCGGGCUAGAGUGUGGCAGAGGGGGGUGGAAUUCCGCGUGUAGCAGUGAAAUGCGUAGAGAUGCGGAGGAACACCGAUGGCGAAGGCAGCCCCCCUGGGCUAGCACUGACGCUCAUGCACGAAAGCGUGGGGAGCAAACGGG